AGUUUGAUCCUGGCUCAGGACGAACGCUGGCGGCGUGCUUAAUACAUGCAAGUCGUGCGGCCCUUCGGGGCAGCGGCGGACGGGUGAGGAACACGUGAGUAACCGGGCGUCCGGUGGGGGAUAUCGGGCCGAAAGGCGCGGCAAUCCCGCAUACGGUCUGUGCGCGAGGGCGUGCAGAGGAAAGGCCUUCGGGUCGCCGGACGGGGGGCUCGCGGCCCAUUAGCUAGUUGGGCGGGUAACGGCCUCCCAAGGCGACGAUGGGUAGCCGGCCUGAGAGGGUGAUCGGCCACACUGGGACUGAGACACGGCCCAGACUCCUACGGGAGGCAGCAGUAGGGAAUCUUCCACAAUGGGCGCAAGCCUGAUGGAGCAACGCCGCGUGAGUGAAGACGGCCUUCGGGUUGUAAAGCUCUGUCUGUCGGGACGAGGACCCGGCCAUCAGGCCCGGGGGGACGGUACCGGCAAAGGAAGCCCCUGCUAACUACGUGCCAGCAGCCGCGGUAAGACGUAGGGUGCAAGCGUUGUCCGGAAUUACUGGGCGUAAAGGGCGUGUAGGCGGUGCGUCACGUAGCGGUUUUCACCGUCGGCUCACCCGACGGAGGGCGGCUAAACGGGCGCGCUGGAGGGCAGGAGAGGUGCACGGAAUUCCUGGUGGAGCGGUGAAAUGCGUAGAGAUCAGGAAGAACACCCGUGGCGAAGGCGGUGCACUGGCCCUGACGCUGAGGCGCGACAGCGUGGGGAGCGAACGGGAUUAGAUACCCCGGUAGUCCACGCCGUAAACGAUGGAUACUAGGUGUCGCGGGGGUCCACCCGGCGGUGCCGGAGCUAACGCACUAAGUAUCCCGCCUGGGGAGCACGGCCGCAAGGUUGAAACUCAAAGGAAUUGACGGGGGCCCGCACAAGCAGUGGAGCAUGUGGUUUAAUUCGACGCAACGCGCAGAACCUUACCAGGGCUAGACGGGACCGUGAGCGCCGCGAAAGCGGCGGGCCCUUCGGGGAGCGGUCGUCAUGUGCUGCAUGGUUGUCGUCAGCUCGUGUCGUGAGAUGUUGGGUUAAGUCCCGCAACGAGCGCAACCCUCGUCGCGUGUUGCCAGCGGUUCGGCCGGGCACUCACGCGAGACUGCCGGUGACAAACCGGAGGAAGGUGGGGAUGACGUCAAAUCCGCAUGGCCUUGAUGUCCUGGGCCACACACGUGCUACAAUGGCGCCGACAACGGGCCGCGACUCCGCGAGGAGCAGCGAAUCCUUCAAACGGCGUCUCAGUUCGGAUUGCAGGCUGCAACCCGCCUGCA
rnacentral:rRNA from 1 species